CCCCCCCCCCCCCCGCCGGGUCGUUCAGGGCCCCGCCGGCCGGCGGCGCCUCAGGGGCGGCAGCAGCACCACCGACACCGCCGCCGCCAUGCGUGAGGAGGCCUGGGCUGGCCGCCGGCUCCGCGCUGCGGCUGCUGUUGCCAUGAUGGUGGCGUCACGGGCGCAACCAUCGCAGGACGAUGCGGGGAAGGAGGGGGAAGGAAGGCGCCGCCCGCCCCGCCCCGCCCCGGCUGUGUGAGGGGAAAUGUCCGCCCGCGGCUCGGCGCUCGGCCGAGCGGGCUGAGGGCGAGGCUGCGGAGCCCCGAGCCGCCGAUGGCGCUGAGGGGUGAGGGGCUUGAGGGGCUGAGGGGCUGAGGCAGCGCCGCGGCGGGGCGCAGGGCGGGCCCGGCCGCCAUUUUGGACGCCGAGCCGCCUCGCUGCGGGAAGGUCUUGCCUUGGCCUUGCAUCAGAAAAACCUACCAGUGAACAUGCGUACAGGAAAACACUUAAGUAUUCAAGAAAAUGAUAUCAUCUGAAAUGUAAAAAUGAAUAAAGAAUUACACGGGUAGCUCAGUCAAAUUGGAAGACAGUGGAAGAGAAGCAUCUGGAUCCUUUGACACAUGGGAAAGCUUAGACAGCAGUGAGAGUAUGUGGAAGACGACCAAAAGACAGAGAUCAUCAGACUUUCACAGGCCAAGAAAAAUGCACAGUGUCAGUGAGUCACAAAUCAGUUGUUGCAUUUUCCUUCCUUAGCUCCCUCCCCACCAGAAUAUCAGCUACGAUAUUUCCUGUCUCCAGACUCCCGUCCCAGCACCCGUAGUUCCUCUCUUCCACGUCCCACACUGAGUGCACAGCUUAGCAGAAGUCGAGAGCAGCUGCCUCACAGAAAGACAUGUUGAUCAACACAAUCGUCUUGAUGGGGAGGAAGCAGCCUCCGUCUCCAGCUGAGUUCAGAGGCCUGUUGUUGUUGUUGCUGUUGUAUUCUCAUUACUUACGCUUAUAUUUGAAGAGCUGUAUUUUCUGAGGGGAAGAAAAAAGGAGAGCAUGCAGUCCAGGAGGCAUAGCGAAGGGAUGAUGAUCAGUAAUUGCAGUGAGUAAUUAAUGGUGAAAUAUAUAUAUCGUUAUGUUUUGGUCACAUUCAAAACUUACACAGAUUACUUCAUUUACCAACUUCAGCUAAAGACUACACAGGGCUUUGUUCUCAUUUAACUAUGGGCUACGCAUGCCCCGUUUUUGUAUACCUUUAGCUAUUGUUCUUUGGUACAAAUCAUUUAGUAUAAUAAAAGCAACAUAAGCCUGCAGUGCAGAUACACAAAUAUUAGUGACUUUAUGGAAAUAAGCUCUGUACUUGUAGCAGCUUAAUCAUUAUGCUUUAAAAGACCACACCCAAUCCAACAAAGGAUUUUGAAAAUUAUGUAUGCAAAGAGAAAAAUAAUUUUAAUAACAUGUUUUAGGUAACUGAAGGUUAUAGAAAGAGGAAAUGGUUUUACUUGAACUCUCAGUUUCAGCCUAGGUAGAUGCUUGUAUGAACAUUGUACCAGUUCACAGUGAGUUUGGUUAUAGGUUAGGAGACAAUGGUGGUGUAACUGAAGUGUUAAGAGAUAACUCCCAAACUGAAUAUGAACAGCUAUGUAAUUCUACCUUAGCUGCCUUUUUACUAUUAAUUUUGAAUGUGAUAAAGACAUAGGAUUAAUUCUGCAGGUCCUUACACAUGCAGAAUGAAUGAAUUCAAAUUAAGGAUUUUUUUUUUCCUUAAGUAGGAUUUGUUUGUUUUUGUCAGAGCCCUUCCAAAGUACAAGGAGAGGUCACAGCUGUUCUUUUCAUUCACAUGUAAUCUGGUAAAACAAACAACAUAUGUAUCGAGCAUAAGAGUUUAGCAGUCAGAACACAGGGAUUUGUAUAUGAAUUUGAAAACUGUAAAUAACAAAUUAUGGUUAACCUUUAUCCUACCGCCCAUCAACCUGAUUUGUUAGUAAAGAUUUGUGUUGGAAUUGAGGUUUUCAUGUGCUACAUUGUUCAGAAAAAUAACACUCUCUCCAAGUGCAAGAUAACAAGGUCCACGUUUACAUUCUCAGCUUUAAUUCUAAUUGUCGUGUCUUCUAGAUUUACAUAAUUAGUACAUUUACAUAAUCACUUAAGACCUUCAUCUGCACUCCAAUAAAAGUAGACCUGACCUCAAACCUUGCUGAAAAAUCACACUUACAUUUUG